rnacentral:lncRNA from 13 species
AUGGCCUUCACCUCAGGAUCUCUGGGAUCUGCCUUCACCUCAGGGUUCACCUUCACCUCGGGGAUCCACCUUCACCUUGGGAUCCACCUUCACCUCAGGGUCUGCCUGGGAUCCACCUUCACCUCGGGGUCCGCCUUCACCCCAGGGUCUGCCUUCACCUUGGGAUCCGCCUUCACCCCAGGAUCCGCCUUCACCUCAGGGUCCGCCUGGGAUCCACCUUCACCUCGGGAUCUGCCUUCACCUCGGGGUCUGCCUGGGAUCCGCCUUCACCCCACUAUCCGCCUUUACCUCAGGGUCCACCUGGGAUCCACCUUCACCUUGGGGUCCGCCUUCUCCUUGGGGGUCAGCCUUCACUCAGGGAUCUGCCUUCACCCAGGGAUCCACCUUCACCUCGGGGAUCCGCCUUCACCUCGGGGUCCGCCUUCACCUCAGGAUCCGCCUUCAUCUCAGGAUCCGCCUUCACCUCAGGGAUCUGCCUUCACCUCGGGAUCCACCUUCACCUCGGGAUCUGCCUUCACUCGGGAUUCG